rnacentral:rRNA from 1 species
UACGGCGGGGUGCAAGCUGUUAAUGCGGAAUCACUGGUGCGUAAAGGGUGCGUAGGCGGAACGUUAGGUCUGUCGUGAAAUCCCCGGGCUCAACCUGGGAAUGGCGUUAUAAACCGGGGCACUACAGUAUGGGAGAGGGUGGUGGAAUUCCAGGUGUAGCGGUGAAAUGCGUAGAGAUCUGGAGGAACAUCAGUGGCGAAGGCGGCCACCUGGCCCAAUACUGACGCUGAGGCACGAAAGCGUGGGGAGCAAACAGGAUUAGAUACUCUGGUAGUCCACGCCCUAAACGAUGAAUACUAGAUGUUUGGUACCUAGCGUACUGAGUGUCGUAGCUAACGCGAUAAGUAUUCCGCCUGGGAAGUACGGCCGCAAGGUUAAAACUCAAAGGAAUUGACGGGGGACCGCACAAGCGGUGGAGCAUGUGGUUUAAUUCGAUGCAACGCGAAGAACCUUACCUGGGCUUGACAUGUCCGGAAUCCUGCAGAGAUGCGGGAGUGCCCUUCGGGGAAUCGGAACACAGGUGCUGCAUGGCUGUCGUCAGCUCGUGUCGUGAGAUGUUGGGUUAAGUCCCGCAACGAGCGCAACCCUUGUCCUUAGUCGCCAGCGGUUCGGCCGGGCACUCUAGGGAGACUGCCGGUGACAAACCGGAGGAAGGUGGGGAUGACGUCAAGUCCUCAUGGCCUUUAUGUCCAGGGCUACACACGUGCUACAAUGGCGCGUACAGAGGGAAGUCAAGCCGCGAGGUGGAGCAGGCCCCAGAAAGCCCGUCGUAGUUCGGAUUGCAGUCUGCAACUCGACUGCAUGAAGUCGGAAUCGGUAGUAAUCGCGGAUCCAGCAUGCCGCGGUGAAUACGUUAACCGGGCCU